GAGAGUAAGCGUCCAUUCUCCCAGACCGGCACUUAAAGCCUGGCUGUCACCCAGCCAUCCCGUCUCUGUGCUGGAUGGACACCAAACCCCAAGGCCCUCAUCUGCCUUUGUCCCAGCUACUGUCCAGUGCUUCAGAGAUGGCUACUUCGUCCUCGUGGUGUCCCAAGAAAUGGCCUUGACACACAGGAUCACACUGGCCAACAUCCACCUGGCCUAUGCCCCCACCAGCUGCUCCCCAACACAGCACAUGGAAGCUUUCGUGGUCUUCUACUUCCCUCUCACCCACUGUGGAACCACAAUGCAGGUAGGAGCCGGGACCACAGGCUGGGGCCUGGUCCCCCACCAGAAAGCCUCACCCAGCUGUCUCUUCCCACAGGUGGCUGGCGACCAGCUCAUCUAUGAGAACUGGCUGGUGUCUGGCAUCCACAUCCAAAAGGGGCCACAGGGUUCCAUCACGCGGGACAGCACCUUCCAGCAUCCAUUUUCCCACCCCCAUCGCCUGCUCCUAUGACCCAGCCCGGCCCCCUGCGGCUUGAGCUGCGGAU
rnacentral:sRNA from 1 species